GAGCUCAGAUGCAAAGAAAUGAAGCCAAGCAAAACACAAUGCUGCAUAAAUUGGAAAGGGGGAAAAAUGCAGGAACUAUGACCACAAAAUCAUCCUUUAAUCUCACACUCUUUCAGAACAAAAAUGGGAAUGAAGCGGAACAUAGCUUCACUAGGGGUUAUGUCCCAAGUUGCAAAGACAGUACAACAACACCCUCAAGCAAUGAAAAAGAAGAUAGAUCGCAAAAAAGAUCAUAUUACCGUAAAAACCCUAGAGAAGGCAGAGAGAGGUUGACUCUAGCACUAAAACGCAAAAACCCUAGAAAAUGAGGUAGAAG
rnacentral:misc_RNA from 1 species